CUUCUCCACUAAGAGUGUGUGCUUGUUACAUAAAAGCUGAAUUUGAGCAAAGCAGCUUGGGAGAAAGAAAGUGUUCUAUCAGAGAGACUUAGGGGUUAGUGUUGCCAAUUUGACCCAAGCUAGAGUCCUCUGGAAAGAGGGGUCCUCAAUUGAGAAAAUGCUUCCAGGAGAUACAGUUGUAAGGAAUUUUCUUAAUUAGUGAUUGAUAGGGAAGGGCUCAGCCCAUUGUGGAUGGUACUGUCACUGGGCUGGUGGUUCUGGAUUCUAUAAGAAAGAAGUGUACUAAGCCAGAAGGAGCAACCCAGUAAGCAGCAUCCCUCCAUGGCCUCUGUAUCAACCCCGCUGGAGUUGUCCUGGCUUCCUUCAAUGACUGCCUGACCAUAGCUGAGUUGAUGUCUGAUCAUUAUAUUCUGCUGGGGAGAGGGCAUCAGAUACUAUAUAACCUGGCCACCAGCUUAUGCCUGCUUUCUCUCCCUGGACCCCACUUUUCUGUCUCAUCUGCACAGCAUCUCAAUGAAUUAGCCUGAGAGCUGUACCCA
rnacentral:lncRNA from 1 species